rnacentral:rRNA from 1 species
GUCCGGAUUGGAGUCUGCAACUCGACUCCAUGAAGUCGGAAUCGCUAGUAAUCGUAGAUCAGAAUGCUACGGUGAAUACGUUCCCGGGCCUUGUACACACCGCCCGUCACACCAUGGGAGUGGGUUGCAAAAGAAGUAGGUAGCUUAACCUUCGGGAGGGCGCUUACCACUUUGUGAUUCAUGACUGGGGUGAAGUCGUAACAAGGUAACCGUAGGGGAACCUGCGGUUGGAUCACCUCCUUACCUUAAAGAA